UACGUAGGGGGCGAGCGUUGUCCGGAAUCAUUGGGCGUAAAGCGCGUGUAGGCGGCCCGGUAAGUCCGCUGUGAAAGUCCAGGGCUCAACCCUGGGAUGCCGGUGGAUACUGUCGGACUAGAGUACGGAAGAGGCGAGUGGAAUUCCUGGUGUAGCGGUGAAAUGCGCAGAUAUCAGGAGGAACACCGGUGGCGAAGGCGGCUCUCUGGAACGCAACUGACGCUGAGACGCGAAAGCGUGGGGAGCAAACAGG
rnacentral:rRNA from 1 species